rnacentral:rRNA from 1 species
AUACGGGAGGCAGCAGUGGGGAAUCUUGCGCAAUGGCCGAAAGGCUGACGCAGCGACGCCGCGUGUGGGAGGACGCCCUUCGGGGUGUAAACCACAGUUGCCCGGGACGAACCUCCCCUUUCGAGGGGACUGACGGUACCGGGUGAGGAAGCACCGGCUAACUCCGUGCCAGCAGCCGCGGUAAUACGGAGGGUGCGAGCGUUGUCCGGAAUCACUGGGCGUAAAGGGCGCGUAGGUGGCGGGAGAAGUCAACGGUGAAAGCUCGGAGCUCAACUCCGAGUCGGCCGUCGAUACUCUUCGGCUCGAGCACUGUAGAGGCAGGUGGAAUUCCGGGUGUAGCGGUGGAAUGCGUAGAGAUCCGGAAGAACACCGGUGGCGAAGGCGGCCUGCUGGGCAGUUGCCGACACUGAGGCGCGACAGCGUGGGGAGCAAACAGGAUUAGAUACCCCCGUAGUCC